AAGUCGUACGCUUCUUUUUCCACCGGAGCUUGCUCCACCGGAAAAAGAAGAGUGGCGAACGGGUGAGUAACACGUGGGUAACCUGCCCAUCAGAAGGGGAUAACACUUGGAAACAGGUGCUAAUACCGUAUAACAAUCGAAACCGCAUGGUUUUGAUUUGAAAGGCGCUUUCGGGUGUCGCUGAUGGAUGGACCCGCGGUGCAUUAGCUAGUUGGUGAGGUAACGGCUCACCAAGGCCACGAUGCAUAGCCGACCUGAGAGGGUGAUCGGCCACAUUGGGACUGAGACACGGCCCAAACUCCUACGGGAGGCAGCAGUAGGGAAUCUUCGGCAAUGGACGAAAGUCUGACCGAGCAACGCCGCGUGAGUGAAGAAGGUUUUCGGAUCGUAAAACUCUGUUGUUAGAGAAGAACAAGGAUGAGAGUAACUGUUCAUCCCUUGACGGUAUCUAACCAGAAAGCCACGGCUAACUACGUGCCAGCAGCCGCGGUAAUACGUAGGUGGCAAGCGUUGUCCGGAUUUAUUGGGCGUAAAGCGAGCGCAGGCGGUUUCUUAAGUCUGAUGUGAAAGCCCCCGGCUCAACCGGGGAGGGUCAUUGGAAACUGGGAGACUUGAGUGCAGAAGAGGAGAGUGGAAUUCCAUGUGUAGCGGUGAAAUGCGUAGAUAUAUGGAGGAACACCAGUGGCGAAGGCGGCUCUCUGGUCUGUAACUGACGCUGAGGCUCGAAAGCGUGGGGAGCAAACAGGAUUAGAUACCCUGGUAGUCCACGCCGUAAACGAUGAGUGCUAAGUGUUGGAGGGUUUCCGCCCUUCAGUGCUGCAGCUAACGCAUUAAGCACUCCGCCUGGGGAGUACGACCGCAAGGUUGAAACUCAAAGGAAUUGACGGGGGCCCGCACAAGCGGUGGAGCAUGUGGUUUAAUUCGAAGCAACGCGAAGAACCUUACCAGGUCUUGACAUCCUUUGACCACUCUAGAGAUAGAGCUUCCCCUUCGGGGGCAAAGUGACAGGUGGUGCAUGGUUGUCGUCAGCUCGUGUCGUGAGAUGUUGGGUUAAGUCCCGCAACGAGCGCAACCCUUAUUGUUAGUUGCCAUCAUUUAGUUGGGCACUCUAGCAAGACUGCCGGUGACAAACCGGAGGAAGGUGGGGAUGACGUCAAAUCAUCAUGCCCCUUAUGACCUGGGCUACACACGUGCUACAAUGGGAAGUACAACGAGUCGCGAAGUCGCGAGGCUAAGCUAAUCUCUUAAAGCUUCUCUCAGUUCGGAUUGUAGGCUGCAACUCGCCUACAUGAAGCCGGAAUCGCUAGUAAUCGCGGAUCAGCACGCCGCGGUGAAUACGUUCCCGGGCCUUGUACACACCGCCCGUCACACCACGAGAGUUUGUAACACCCGAAGUCGGUGAGGUAACCUUUGGAGCCAGC
rnacentral:rRNA from 1 species